rnacentral:rRNA from 1 species
CCUACGGGUGGCAGCAGUGGGGAAUAUUGGACAAUGGGCGAAAGCCUGAUCCAGCCAUGCCGCGUGUGUGAAGAAGGCCUUCGGGUUGUAAAGCACUUUCAGUGGGGAAGAAAGCCUUGGGGCUAAUACCCUCGAGGAAGGACAUCACCCACAGAAGAAGCACCGGCUAACUCCGUGCCAGCAGCCGCGGUAAUACGGAGGGUGCGAGCGUUAAUCGGAAUUACUGGGCGUAAAGCGCGCGUAGGCGGUCUGAUAAGCCGGUUGUGAAAGCCCCGGGCUCAACCUGGGAACGGCAUCCGGAAGGGUGAAGCGAGAGUGCAGGAGAGGAGGGUGGAAGUCCAGGCGGAGCGGUGAAAUGCGGAGAGAGAGGGAGGAAAACCGGUGGCGAAAGAGGGUUUAUGGAGUGAAACUGGCGCUGAGGUGCGAAAGCGGGGGGAGCAAACAGGAUUAGAUACCCGGGGAGUG